AGAGACAACAUCCCACACCCCGGUCGGUGCUCCCUGCUUCCAGGCAGCUGAGGAAGCACAGUGCUGUCAGAGGAUGCUGAAUUACCCCCACACACGUCAGCAGGCUGUUGGGGUUGGUGGUGGAUGUGCUCCUGCCCUGCAGGAAGGCGUGCUGAGGAAACGAAGCCCUGCAUGGAGGCGGCGCUGCUCUGGCUGGUGGUGAGAAGGGUUGGGCUGUGGGGCUGGGGGCUGCAGGUGCGGCCCGGCGUGAGCUCCGCAGUGUCACCCGGUGCUGGGCUGGGCCCCGCCGCACCCUUUGGGCUUUAUUUUUAGCACGGCCCGGCUGGUUCUACCUGCACGAGCUGCUGGCAGCUCUGCUGCUGUGGGAUUCCGGGGGGCUGAGCACAGCCCUG
ensembl:lncRNA